ACUCAACCCGGAAGUGUCCACCCCAAUGUCGCUUUUUGACACUUGGAUGUUGGCCCUUACCAUCCUUGUGAAGCAGAAUUUAUCAAGCGUUGGAUUGUUCACCCACUAUUAAGAAACGUGAGCUUGGUUUUAGACCGUCAUGAGACAUC
rfam:Oryzias latipes DNA, chromosome16, strain: Hd-rR.